rnacentral:rRNA from 1 species
GAUGAACGCUGGCGGCGUGCUUAACACAUGCAAGUCGAACGGAAAGGCGCUGAGCUUGCGGGGUGCACGAGUGGCGAACGGGUGAGUAACACGCGAGUAACCUGUCCCUGACUUUGGGAGAACAUUAGGAAACUGGGGCUAAUACAGGAUAGGAGAUCCUGCAGCACGGUGUGGGUAGGAAAGUUUCGGCGGUUGGGGAUGGACUCGCGGCUUACGAGCUUGUUGGUGGGGUAGUGACUUACCAAGGCUUUGAAGGGUAGCCGGCCUGAGAGGGGUGACGGCCACAAUGGGACUGCGAGACGGCCCAGACGCCUACGGGAGGCAGCAGUGGGGAGUAUUGCGCAAUGGGCGGGAGCCUGAGGCAGCGACGCCGCGUGCGGGAUACCGGCUUUCGGGGUGUAAACCGCUUUCGCCGGAAACGAAGCGUGAGUGACGGUAAUGGGUAAGAAAGCAACGGCUAACUACGUG